UACGUAGGGGGCAAGCGUUGUCCGGAAUUAUUGGGCGUAAAGAGCGUGUAGGCGGCCAGAUAAGUCCGCUGUGAAAUCUCGAGGCUCAACUUCGAGCUGUCGGUGGAAACUAUCUGGCUAGAGUCCGGAAGAGGAGAGUGGAAUUCCUGGUGUAGCGGUGAAAUGCGCAGAUAUCAGGAAGAACACCCGUGGCGAAGGCGGUUCUCUGGGACGGUACUGACGCUGAGACGCGAAAGCGUGGGGAGCGAACAGG
rnacentral:rRNA from 1 species